GUCCUAGCCCUAAACGAUGGGUACUAGCUAGUAGGGUUCACAUGGCUUUACUGGCGAAGCAAAAGUGCUAAGUACCCCGCCUGGGGAGUAUGGUCGCAAGGCUGAAACUCAAAGAAAUUGACGGGGGCUCACACAAGCGGUGGAGCAUGUGGCUUAAUUCGAGGCUACGCGAAGAACCUUAUCCUAGACUUGACAUGUGCGAUAGCGUUGGGCGGUAGGUCACCGAAAGUAUGACUGAUUCCUCGCAAGAGGAGGAUCCAAUACAGGUGCUU
rnacentral:rRNA from 1 species